AGCUGCGGCAGCGACGCUUAUGCGUUGUUGGGUAGGGGAGCGUUCUGUAAGCCUGCGAAGGUGUGCUGUGAGGCAUGCUGGAGGUAUCAGAAGUGCGAAUGCUGACAUAAGUAACGAUAAAGCGGGUGAAAAGCACGCUCGCCGGAAGACCAAGGGUUCCUGUCCAACGUUAAUCGGGGCAGGGUGAGUCGACCCCUAAGGCGAGGCCGAAAGGCGUAGUCGAUGGGAAACAGGUUAAUAUUCCUGUACUUGGUGUUACUGCGAAGGGGGGACGGAGAAGGCUAUGUUGGCCGGGCGACGGUUGUCCCGGUUUAAGCGUGUAGGCUGGUUUUCCAGGCAAAUCCGGAAAAUCAAGGCUGAGGCGUGAUGACGAGGCACUACGGUGCUGAAGCAACAAAUGCCCUGCUUCCAGGAAAAGCCUCUAAGCAUCAGGUAACAUCAAAUCGUACCCCAAACCGACACAGGUGGUCAGGUAGAGAAUACCAAGGCGCUUGAGAGAACUCGGGUGAAGGAACUAGGCAAAAUGGUGCCGUAACUUCGGGAGAAGGCACGCUGAUAUGUAGGUGAGGUCCCUCGCGGAUGGAGCUGAAAUCAGUCGAAGAUACCAGCUGGCUGCAACUGUUUAUUAAAAACACAGCACUGUGCAAACACGAAAGUGGACGUAUACGGUGUGACGCCUGCCCGGUGCCGGAAGGUUAAUUGAUGGGGUUAGCGCAAGCGAAGCUCUUGAUCGAAGCCCCGGUAAACGGCGGCCGUAACGAUAACGGUCCUAAGGUAGCGAAAUUCCUUGUCGGGUAAGUUCCGACCUGCACGAAUGGCGUAAUGAUGGCCAGGCUGUCUCCACCCGAGACUCAGUGAAAUUGAACUCGCUGUGAAGAUGCAGUGUACCCGCGGCAAGACGGGAAGACCCCGUGAACCUUUACUAUAGCUUGACACUGAACAUUGAGCCUUGAUGUGUAGGAUAGGUGGGAGGCUUUGAAGUGUGGACGCCAGUCUGCAUGGAGCCGACCUUGAAAUACCACCCUUUAAUGUUUGAUGUUCUAACGUUGACCCGUAAUCCGGGUUGCGGACAGUGUUUGGUGGGUAGUUUGACUGGGGCGGUCUCCUCCUAAAGAGUAACGGAGGAGCACGAAGGUUGGCUAAUCCUGGUCGGACAUCAGGAGGUUAGUGCAAUGGCAUAAGCCAGCUUGACUGCGAGCGUGACGGCGCGAGCAGGUGCGAAAGCAGGUCAUAGUGAUCCGGUGGUUCUGAAUGGAAGGGCCAUCGCUCAACGGAUAAAAGGUACUCCGGGGAUAACAGGCUGAUACCGCCCAAGAGUUCAUAUCGACGGCGGUGUUUGGCACCUCGAUGUCGGCUCAUCACAUCCUGGGGCUGAAGUAGGUCCCAAGGGUAUGGCUGUUCGCCAUUUAAAGUGGUACGCGAGCUGGGUUUAGAACGUCGUGAGACAGUUCGGUCCCUAUCUGCCGUGGGCGCUGGAGAACUGAGGGGGGCUGCUCCUAGUACGAGAGGACCGGAGUGGACGCAUCACUGGUGUUCGGGUUGUCAUGCCAAUGGCACUGCCCGGUAGCUAAAUGCGGAAGAGAUAAGUGCUGAAAGCAUCUAAGCACGAAACUUGCCCCGAGAUGAGUUCUCCCUGACCCUUUAAGGGUCCUGAAGGAACGUUGAAGACGACGACGUUGAUAGGCCGGGUGUGUAAGCGCAGCGAUGCGUUGAGCUAACCGGUACUAAUGAACCGUGAGGCUUAACC
rnacentral:rRNA from 1 species